rnacentral:rRNA from 1 species
AACGAACGCUGGCGGCAUGCCUAACACAUGCAAGUCGAACGAAGGCUUCGGCCUUAGCGGCGCACGGGUGAGUAACGCGUGGGUGAUCUCCCUUGGUAAUCGGGAUAACAGCGGGAAACUGCUGCUAAUACCGGCUAAUCUUCAUGUUUAACUUCAUGGGGUAAAGGUGGCCUCUGCUUGCAAGCUACCACAUCAAGAUGAGCCCGCGUCUCAUUAGCUAGUUGGUAGGGUAAUGGCCUACCAAGGCUACGAUGAGUAGCUGGUCUGAGAGGAUGACCAGCCACACUGGGACUGGAACACGGCCCAGACUCCUACUGGAGGCAGCAGUGGGGAAUAUUGCGCAAUGGGCGAAAGCCUGACGCAGCGACGCCUCGUGAGGGAUGAAGGACUUCGGAUCGUAAACCUCUGUCAAGAGGGAAGAAACCCUUAGGUUCGAAUAGGGCCUUUGGCUGACGGUACCUCAAAAGGAAGCACCGGCUAACUCCGUGCCAGCAGCCGCCGUAA